rnacentral:rRNA from 1 species
GGUUGUGCCCUUGAGGUGUGGCUUCCGGAGCUAACGCGUUAAGUAGACCGCCUGGGGAGUACGGCCGCAAGGUUAAAACUCAAAUGAAUUGACGGGGGCCCGCACAAGCGGUGGAGCAUGUGGUUUAAUUCGAUGCAACGCGAAGAACCUUACCUGGUCUUGACAUCCACAGAACUUUCCAGAGAUGGAUUGGUGCCUUCGGGAACUGUGAGACAGGUGCUGCAUGGCUGUCGUCAGCUCGUGUUGUGAAAUGUUGGGUUAAGUCCCGCAACGAGCGCAACCCUUAUCCUUUGUUGCCAGCGGUCCGGCCGGGAACUCAAAGGAGACUGCCAGUGAUAAACUGGAGGAAGGUGGGGAUGACGUCAAGUCAUCAUGGCCCUUACGACCAGGGCUACACACGUGCUACAAUGGCGCAUACAAAGAGAAGCGACCUCGCGAGAGCAAGCGGACCUCAUAAAGUGCGUCGUAGUCCGGAUUGGAGUCUGCAACUCGACUCCAUGAAGUCGGAAUCGCUAGUAAUCGUGGAUCAGAAUGCCACGGUGAAUACGUUCCCGGGCCUUGUACACACCGCCCGUCACACCAUGGGAGUGGGUUGCAAAAGAAGUAGGUAGCUUAACCUUCGGGAGGGCGCUUACCACUUUGUGAUUCAUGACUGGGGUGAAGUCGUAACAAGGUAACCGUAGGGGAACCUGC